AUCGAACGCUGGCGGCAGGCCUAACACAUGCAAGUCGAGCGGAUGAGUGGAGCUUGCUCCAUGAUUCGGCGGCGGACGGGUGAGUAAUGCCUAGGAAUCUGCCUGGUAGUGGGGGACAACGUUUCGAAAGGAACGCUAAUACCGCAUACGUCCUACGGGAGAAAGUGGGGGAUCUUCGGACCUCACGCUAUCAGAUGAGCCUAGGUCGGAUUAGCUAGUUGGUGAGGUAAAGGCUCACCAAGGCGACGAUCCGUAACUGGUCUGAGAGGAUGAUCAGUCACACUGGAACUGAGACACGGUCCAGACUCCUACGGGAGGCAGCAGUGGGGAAUAUUGGACAAUGGGCGAAAGCCUGAUCCAGCCAUGCCGCGUGUGUGAAGAAGGUCUUCGGAUUGUAAAGCACUUUAAGUUGGGAGGGAGGGCAGUAAGUUAAUACCUUGCUGUUUUGACGUUACCAACAGAAUAAGCACCGGCUAACUUCGUGCCAGCCGCCGCCGUAAUAC
rnacentral:rRNA from 1 species